UGAUAAAUUAAGGAGUCAAAUUGAACUUUAUUCUAUUUCUAUAAAAUUUAAAUAAUAAAUAUAAAUUUUUAAAUUACUACAACUCGUCAAAACCAACUUGCCGUUGCCGUAAGCACGUUUCCACUAUUAUCAUUAAUAUCUCGCGCUGUUCACGGGCCCACAAAUUGGAUCAUGACACUUAUUUUUAUUAUUUUUGCUAUUUUGGC
rnacentral:lncRNA from 1 species